GACGAACGCUGGCGGCGUGCUUAACACAUGCAAGUCGAACGGAAAGGCCCUGCUUUUGUGGGGUGCUCGAGUGGCGAACGGGUGAGUAACACGUGAGUAACCUGCCCUUGACUUUGGGAUAACUUCAGGAAACUGGGGCUAAUACCGGAUAGGAGCUCCUGCUGCAUGGUGGGGGUUGGAAAGUUUCGGCGGUUGGGGAUGGACUCGCGGCUUAUCAGCUUGUUGGUGGGGUAGUGGCUUACCAAGGCUUUGACGGGUAGCCGGCCUGAGAGGGUGACCGGCCACAUGGGGUCUGAGAUACGGCCCAGACUCAUACGGGAGGGAGCAGGGGGGAAUAUUGCACAAUGGGCGGAAGCCUGAUGCAGCAACGCCGCGUGCGGGAUGACGGCCUUCGGGUUGUAAACCGCUUUCGCCUGUGACGAAGCGUGAGUGACGGUAAUGGGUAAAGAAGCACCGGCUAACUACGUG
rnacentral:rRNA from 1 species